CUGGCUCAGGAUGAACGCUGGCGGCGUGCCUAAUACAUGCAAGUCGAGCGAACAGAUAAGGAGCUUGCUCCUUUGACGUUAGCGGCGGACGGGUGAGUAACACGUGGAUAACCUACCUAUAAGACUGGGAUAACUUCGGGAAACCGGAGCUAAUACCGGAUAACAUAUUGAACCGCAUGGUUCAAUAGUGAAAGGCGGCUUUGCUGUCACUUAUAGAUGGAUCCGCGCCGUAUUAGCUAGUUGGUAAGGUAACGGCUUACCAAGGCAACGAUACGUAGCCGACCUGAGAGGGUGAUCGGCCACACUGGAACUGAGACACGGUCCAGACUCCUACGGGAGGCAGCAGUAGGGAAUCUUCCGCAAUGGGCGAAAGCCUGACGGAGCAACGCCGCGUGAGUGAUGAAGGUCUUCGGAUCGUAAAACUCUGUUAUCAGGGAAGAACAAAUGUGUAAGUAACUGUGCACAUCUUGACGGUACCUGAUCAGAAAGCCACGGCUAACUACGUGCCAGCAGC
rnacentral:rRNA from 1 species